AAUUGCGACAGGCUCUCACUUUGUCAUCCAGGUUGGAGUGCAGUGGUGCAAUCAUGAGUCACUGCAGCCUCGACUCCCCCAGGCUGAAGCAAUCCUCCUGCCUCAGCCUCCCAAGUAGCUUGGGACUGCAGUUGUAUGUCACCAUACCCAGCCCCAAUCUUAGUUUUUAGAAACAAUUUUUUUUUUUUUUUGGAGAGACUGUCCUUUAGUCAUAAAAAAUUACAAGACAUUAAAAACUUACAAGUGAUUGGAAACUACUCAAAUGUCCAGAAUAGGAAGCCUGUGGCAUGUUCAUACAAAGGAAUACUAUACAGCAAUAUAAGUAAAUGAACUGCAAUUGUGUACAUGGAAAAUAUAGAUGACUAUAUCUAUAUAUAUACAUAUAAUAUAUAUACACAUAUAUAAUAUACAUAUAUGUAUAUGUAUAUAUAUAAUAUAUAAUAUAUAUACAUAUAUUAUAUGUAUAUGUAUAUAUUAUAUAUAAUAUAUAUACAUAUAUGUAUAUGUAUAUAUAUAAUAUAUAAUAUAUAUACAUAUAUGUAUAUGUAUAUAUAUAAUAUAUAUAAUAUAUAUAUUUUAACAUGUUACUUUAGGUUCCAGGAUACAAGUGCAGAACGUGCAGGUUUGUUACAUAGGUAUAUGUGAGAUAACUAUAUUUGUAACAUAAUGUUGAGCAAAAACUUUAUGCUGAACAAAAAGGCCAGAUGCAAAAGAGUACAUGCCCUUUGAUUCCAUUUAUAUAAAGUUUUGAAACAGGUAAAACUAACCAGUGGUGUUGGAAGUCAGCUUUUUGGGGGUUGGGUAGUGUAGUUACUCAAAGGGGACAGUAGAGGGGCUCCUGGAAUGCUGGGAAUGUUCAGUUUUAAUAUUGGUUUCUUGGAUAUGUUUGAUUGUGAAAAUUUAUCAAGCUCCAUAUACAAUUUGUGCACUUUCAGUGUUGUAAGUUAUACUUUCAUAAAAUAUUGGGGGAAGAAAAGCCAGUAAGUGCAAUGGACUUAUGGGAGAGCCUGGGUCUCUGGCAGACAUCCCAGCAUCCUUCACUCCAGACAUGAUGGCAGCCUGCAUACAAUUCUGUCUCAGACUGAAUGGUGGAUGGUGGAGGAGGAAGAAGCUCUCUGGAGACAGCAUGAGUGAUCUCUAAUUAUACUUUUCUUUUUAGAAAAAGAAUUUUUUUUUCUUCUAAAAGAGUGACUUUAAAUGAUAGUUCAUGAAAUAACCUCCUUGGUGUCAUCUACUCGUGAAAUCCUUUUUUUAACCAACAAAUCCCUGCAUUCUGUGUGACUAAACCUGUACACACAUUUCCAGCCCAGCACCAUACCACCAGAUAGGGUGGGGCAGUGGCACCCAGAAGGCUUGUGAUACCACAGAUCUGGAUUCAAACCUCAGCUCUACUUCUCACCUGUUCUGUGACCUAGGGCAGGGAACUCUCCCUGAUACUCAAUCUCCACCUCACAGGUUGACACUGGGAAUUACAUGAGGCCUCCCCAGGGAUUUGUGCCUAGUAAAAUGCUAAACACAAAAUGGCAGGUGUUUGAGGAGUUGUUCUUUACUUAUAUCACCUCCAAUGAUAAUCCUACAUAGUAGGCAAUAUUUCUAUUUUGCAAAGGAGGAAACCAAGAUUUUUGAAGCAAGAUUAUAACUACUGAGUGACAGGGCAGGAUUUGAACCCUACCAGCCCUGAGCUCAAGUGUCCAACCCUUCUGCUAUACUGCCUCUGCACCUGCAGCUGGCCACACCGAUAUGGUUCCAGGGACCCUGGGGGAUGAAUGGAGUAGAAUCUCUCCUGGAUCCCUGAUUGUUUCAUUUCCCAGCUCCCCUGGCUGUAGGCCCUGAAAGCCCAUUUCUCUUCUCUUCCACCUUCCUCCCUAAAUCACAACCUCUUUCUGCCCUCCCUCUGUCCCCAGAGUCCUAGAUGCCAGGGAUCCAGAGAAUUGAACUGUGCCCUUCCCUGGGCCAGCCCUGAGUUGCCCCUUAGGACAGCAGUGUUCAGCUCUGUGGGUGGGGAGUGACGGCAGGGAGCACUUCUGCCCAGACCAGGCCUCCAAGAUCUGUAAUUGGCUCCUGCAAGACCCAAGAAGAAAGUCUAGGCCAUAGAAACAGCAGCACUGUUGGGUAGGACCAACCACACAAUCUGCAUGACCUGGGAGCAGAGCAUGCAGGCACUACUGAAUUACGACUAUAUCCUAUGAACCAGCAGUCUAACUCACACAGGCCCAGGAGGGGACAUGGCAGGCAUGUGCAUCACAGCAUUGUCUGGGUGUCAUCCCUGGGGAAGCAGAUGGGGAAAGAGCAUUUAUUUAUGCGUGUGAGGGUGUGUUAUUUUAGUCCGUGUAAAGCAGCAAGUGCGCAUGCGCGUCUGUGCUUACUUGGUAUGUGUCUG
rnacentral:lncRNA from 1 species